AGUAAUAUGCCUGAAGUUUAAGGAGUAUUUUGAUAAAAUAUAUAUGUAGAUAUACUAUUCUACUUUUACUA
rnacentral:tRNA from 1 species